rnacentral:rRNA from 1 species
AUCCUGGCUCAGAACGAACGCUAGCGGCGCGUUUCAGGCAUGCAAGUCGUACGGCAUCAGCCCUUCGGGGUGUUGGCGAGUGGCGCACGGGUGAGUAACGCGUAGGUAAUCUGCCUUAGGGAAUGGGAUAGCUCUACGAAAGUAGGAUUAAUACCAUAUAGUUUCGUACAGUUUAUUUAUUGUAUGAAUAAAGGUUUCGGCCGCCCUUAGAUGAGCCUGCGUUAGAUUAGCUUGUUGGUAAGGUAAUGGCUUACCAAGGCUACGAUCUAUAGCCGAGCUGAGAGGCUGACCGGCCACAUUGGAACUGAGACACGGUCCAGACUCCUACGGGAGGCAGCAGCUAAGAAUCUUCCGCAAUGGUCGAUAGACUGACGGAGCGACGCCGCGUGGAUGAUGAAGGCCCUACAGGUUGUAAAAUCCUUUUAGAUUGGACGAAUGUAUAAUGUAGGUUAUGCUGACGGUACUUUCUGAAUAAGGUCCGGCUAACUACGUGCCAGCAGCCGCGGUAAUACGUAGGGACCUAGCGUUGUUCGGAAUUAUUGGGCGUAAAGGGUACGUAGGCGGUCAAGUAAGUCAGCUGUGAAAACCUCGGGCUCAACCUGGGGCUUGCGGUUGAUACUGCUUGGCUAGAGUCACGGAGAGGAAAGCGGAAUUCCUGGUGUAGGAGUGAAAUCUAUAGAUAUCAGGAAGAACACCUGUAGCGAAGGCUGUUUUCUGGACGUGCACUGACGCUGAGGUACGAAAGUUAGGGUAGCAAACAGGAUUAGAGACCCUGGUAGUCCUAACUGUAAACGUUGUAUACUAGGUGGUGGGGGUAUCGAUCCUUUCACUGCCGCAGCUAAUGCCUUAAGUAUACCGCCUGGGGAGUAUGCCGGCAACGGUGAAACUCAAAGGAAUUGACGGGGGCCCGGAACAAGCAGUGGAGCAU